CUCCUUAGUCUCUUCAAUUUCUGGCAGGCCUAUAAUUUGGAACUUGAAGCAGAAAUUGCGAGACUGAAAAAAAUAAAUCAGGAACUACUUAGAAAACAGGCUGAAGUCAAGGAAAUGCAGAAGGAUCGGAUCUCACAGAAGGUGAAUGGACUGGACUGGGAAAAUAAGAGGCAGUGCUGCUUGAGGAGGGCGCUGACAGGUCCGUGGUAGAUUUGAUGGAUCGGACAGCAUAUGUUGGCUUUGAACCGAUUGCUGGAGUGUGGCAUUGCAUCUUUACUGUGCAUCGUUGCCGUAGUUGGCGGUCUUAUUCCAAUCUUGUGUCACAAGGGAUGCGUAUUACUUGUAAUAAGAUCAAAGCCACUUGAUUUGUUUCGAGUAAUUAGUGAACUUUUUCUUUGGUAA